GCAAGUCGAACGAGAAAGGGAUUGCUUGCAAUCCUGAGUAGAGUGGCGCACGGGUGAGUAACACGUAGAUAAUCUACCUUCAAAACUGGAAUAACUAUUCGAAAGGGUAGCUAAUACCGGAUAAAGUUUAUGCACAAAAGUGUGUUUAUGAAAGAUUGCCUCUUCUUGAAAGCAAUUGUUUGGAGAUGAGUCUGCGGACCAUUAGUUUGUUGGUGGGGUAAAUGCCUACCAAGACUGCGAUGGUUAGCUGGUCUGAGAGGAUGAUC
rnacentral:rRNA from 1 species